rnacentral:tRNA from 1 species
GAGGCGUGGCCGAGUGGUUGAAGGCGGCAGUCUUGAAAACUGUUGUGCCGAAAGGUACCGUGGGUUCAAAUCCUACCGCCUCC